GGUAGAGUGGGUCAGUGGAAAGAGCAAAGUCUUGGAAAUCAUAGGACCUGGGUUCUAAUCCCAGCUCUGCCC
rnacentral:tRNA from 1 species